AGAGCGAACGCUGGCGGCAGGCUUAACACAUGCAAGUCGAGCGCCCCGCAAGGGGAGCGGCAGACGGGAGAGUAACACGUGGGAACGUACCUUUCGGUUCGGAACAACCCAGGGAAACUUGGGCUAAUACCGGAUACGUCCGUAAGGAGAAAGAUUUAUCGCCGAAAGAUCGGCCCGCGUCUGAUUAGCUAGUUGGUGAGGUAACGGCUCACCAAGGCGACGAUCAGUAGCUGGUCUGAGAGGAUGAUCAGCCUCACUGGGACUGAGACACGGCCCAGACUCCUACGGGAGGCAGCAGUGGGGAAUAUUGGACAAUGGGCGCAAGCCUGAUCCAGCCAUGCCGCGUGGGUGAUGAAGGCCCUAGGGUUGUAAAGCCCUUUCGGGCGGGAAGAUAAUGACGGUACCGCGAGAAGAACGCCCGGCUAACGUUCGUGCCAGCAGCCGC
rnacentral:rRNA from 1 species